UACAGAGGUCCCAAGUGUUGUUCGGAUUCACUGGGCGUAAAGGGUGCGUAGGUGGUGAGGUAAGUCGGAUGUGAAAUCUCCGAGCUCAACUCGGAAAUGGCAUUGGAAACUACCUUGCUUGAGGGUUGGAGGGGGGACUGGAAUACUUGGUGUAGCAGUGAAAUGCGUAGAUAUCGUAAGGAAGACCAGUGGCGAAGGCGGGUCUCUGGACAGUUCCUGACGCUGAGGCACGAAGGUCAGGGGAGCAAACGGG
rnacentral:rRNA from 1 species